UACGUAGGGGGGCAAGCGUUGUCCGGAUUUAUUGGGCGUAAAGAGCUCGUAGGCGGCUCGUUGCGUCGGCUGUGAAAACCCGCAGCUCAACUGUGGGCUUGCAGCCGAUACGGGCGGGCUGGAGUUCGGUAGGGGAGACUGGAAUUCCUGGUGUAGCGGUGAAAUGCGCAGAUAUCGGGAAGAACACCGGUGGCGAAGGCGGCUCUCUGGGCCUGUCCUGACGCUCAGGCGCGAAAGCUAGGGGGAGCGAACAGG
rnacentral:rRNA from 1 species